GAGUGAGAUGAUGCCCUACCAUCUUUCGGGACUGACCUGGAAUGGAGAAAUCUUUUUUUUAUUACUGAUCACUC